UACGGGGGGGGCAAGCGUUGUUCGGAAUUACUGGGCGUAAAGGGCUCGUAGGCGGCCAACUAAGUCAGACGUGAAAUCCCUCGGCUUAACCGAGGAACUGCGUCUGAUACUGGAUGGCUUGAGAUUGGGAGAGGGAUGCGGAAUUCCAGGUGUAGCGGUGAAAUGCGUAGAUAUCUGGAGGAACACCGGUGGCGAAGGCGACAUCCUGGACCAACACUGACGCUGAGGAGCGAAAGCCAGGGGAGCAAACGGG
rnacentral:rRNA from 1 species